UACGGGGGGAGCAAGCGUUGUUCGGAUUUACUGGGCGUAAAGGGCGCGUAGGCGGCGCCGCAAGUCGACUGUGAAAUCUCCGGGCUUAACCCGGAAAGGUCAGCCGAUACUGCGGGGCUAGAGUGCAGAAGGGGCAACUGGAAUUCUCGGUGUAGCGGUGAAAUGCGUAGAUAUCGAGAGGAACACCUGCGGCGAAGGCGGGUUGCUGGGCUGACACUGACGCUGAGGCGCGAAAGCUAGGGGAGCGAACGGG
rnacentral:rRNA from 1 species